CCGUAGAGAGUUUGUAGUCCUUGGCGUCAGGAUGAACGCUGGCGGCGUGCUUAACACAUGCAAGUCGAACGGGGAUGCCAUUUUCGAGGUGAUUAGUUUACUAAGAGCCAAGAUGUUGGCAUCGUUAGUGGCGGACGGGUGAGUAACGCGUGGGUAACCUGCCUUAUACAGGGGGAUAACACUUAGAAAUAGGUGCUAAUACCGCAUAAGCGCACGGGGCUGCAUGGCCCAGUGUGAAAAACUCCGGUGGUAUAAGAUGGACCCGCGUCUGAUUAGCUUGUUGGCGGGGUAACGGCCCACCAAGGCGACGAUCAGUAGCCGGCCUGAGAGGGUGGACGGCCACAUUGGGACUGAGACACGGCCCAAACUCCUACGGGGAGGCAGCAGUGGGGGAAUAUUGGACAAUGGGGGGAACCUUGAUCCAGCGACGCCGCGUGAGUGAAGAAGUAUUUCGGUAUGUAAAGCUCUAUCAGCAGGGAAGAAAGAAAUGACGGUACCUGACUAAGAAGCCCCGGCUAACUACGUG
rnacentral:rRNA from 1 species